rnacentral:rRNA from 1 species
UGGGGAAUAUUGCGCAAUGGGGGAAACCCUGACGCAGCAACGCCGCGUGAGUGAUGAAGGUUUUCGGAUUGUAAAGCUCUGUCUUCUGGGACGAUAAUGACGGUACCAGAGGAGGAAGCCACGGCUAACUACGUGCCAGCAGCCGCGGUAAUACGUAGGUGGCGAGCGUUGUCCGGAUUUACUGGGCGUAAAGGGUGCGUAGGCGGAUAUUUAAGUCAGAUGUGAAAACCCCGGGCUUAACUUGGGGACUGCAUUUGAAACUGGAUAUCUAGAGUGCAGGAGAGGAAAGCGGAAUUCCUAGUGUAGCGGUGAAAUGCGUAGAGAUUAGGAAGAACACCAGUGGCGAAGGCGGCUUUCUGGACUGUAACUGACGCUGAGGCACGAAAGCGUGGGUAGCAAACAGG